ACUGCCUACGGGACGCAGCAGUGGGGAAUAUUGCGCAAUGGGCGAAAGCCUGACGCAGCGACGCCGCGUGAGGGAUGAAGGUCUUCGGAUCGUAAACCUCUGUCAGCAGGGAAGAACGGUCACUGUGCUAAUCAGCAGUGAAUUGACGGUACCUGCAAAGGCAGCACCGGCUAACUCCGUUCCAGCAGCCGCGGUAAUACGGAUGGUGCGCGCGUUAAUCGGAAUUACUG
rnacentral:rRNA from 1 species